rnacentral:rRNA from 1 species
AACGAACGCUGGCGGCAUGCCUAACACAUGCAAGUCGAACGAGACCUUCGGGUCUAGUGGCGCACGGGUGCGUAACGCGUGGGAACCUGCCCUUAGGUUCGGAAUAACUCUCCGAAAGGGGUGCUAAUACCGGAUAAUGUCUUCUGACCAAAGAUUUAUCGCCUUUGGAUGGGCCCGCGUUGGAUUAGUUAGUUGGUAGGGUAAAAGACUACCAAGGCGACGAUCCAUAGCUGGUCUGAGAGGAUGAUCAGCAACACUGGGACUGAGAAACGGCCCAGACUCCUACGGGAGGCAGCAGAGGGGAAUAUUGGAACAUGGGAGAAAGCAUGAUCCUGCAAUGACGCGUGAGUGAUGAAGGCAUUAGGGUUGUAAAGCUCUUUUACCCGGGAUGAUAAUGACAGUACCGGGAGAAUAAGCUCCGGCUAACUACGUG